rnacentral:sRNA from 1 species
CUCGCAUGCCCUUCCUGGGCGUUUCCUCCCUAGACUUGGGCCGCACAGUUCAUUCUGUAGCGGCCCCUUUUCUUUUGUGC